AGCGAACAUUGGCGGUAGGCUUAACACAUGCAAGUCGAGCGAGGCGUAAUAGUCGAGCGGCGAACGGGUGCGUAAUACAUGGGAAUCUACCUCGAAGUGGGGGAUAACGUCCAGAAAUGGACGCUAAUACCGCAUAAUCCAUAUUGGGAAAGCGUUGCAGCGCUUUGAGAUGAGCCCAUGGCUGAUUAGCUAGUUGGUGAGGUAAUGGCUCACCAAGGCGACGAUCAGUAGCUGGUCUGAGAGGAUGACCAGCCACACUGGAACUGAGACACGGUCCAGACUCCUACGGGAGGCAGCAGUGGGAAUCUUGCGCAAUGGGGGCAACCCUGACGCAGCCAUACCGCGUGAGUGAUGAAGGUCUUCGGAUUGUAAAGCUCUUUCGGCGGGGACGACGAUGACGGUACCCGCAAAAGAAGUCACGGCUAACUUCGUGCCAGCCGCCGCCGUAA
rnacentral:rRNA from 1 species